rnacentral:snoRNA from 1 species
UCAUCAGGUAGAGUUAAUUCUUACUUGCGGGGCUUCGGCCCUUCAGACACAUGAUGAUAUUGGGCGAUGAGUUACCUGUGACUUACAACCCACACAUCCACUGGGACUUGAACGCUCAGUGGAUCUAGUCUGAU